rnacentral:rRNA from 1 species
AUUGAACGCUGGCGGCAUGCCUUACACAUGCAAGUCGAACGGUAACGGGCCUUCGGUGCCGACGAGUGGCGAACGGGUGAGUAAUGCAUCGGAACGUACCUUUCAGUGGGGGAUAACGUAGCGAAAGUUACGCUAAUACCGCAUAUUCUGUGAGCAGGAAAGCAGGGGAUCGCAAGACCUUGCGCUGAUUGAGCGGCCGAUGUCAGAUUAGCUAGUUGGUGAGGUAAAGGCUCACCAAGGCGACGAUCUGUAGCGGGUCUGAGAGGAUGAUCCGCCACACUGGAACUGAGACACGGUCCAGACUCCUACGGGAGGCAGCAGUGGGGAAUUUUGGACAAUGGGGGCAACCCUGAUCCAGCCAUGCCGCGUGAGUGAAGAAGGCC